UACAGAGGGGGCAAGCGUUGUUCGGAAUUACUGGGCGUAAAGGGCGCGUAGGCGGCCUGCUAAGUCGAACGUGAAAUCCCUGGGCUCAACCCAGGAACUGCGUCCGAUACUGGAUGGCUUGAAUCCGGGAGAGGGAUGCAGAAUUCCAGGUGUAGCGGUGAAAUGCGUAGAUAUCUGGAGGAACACCGGUGGCGAAGGCGGCAUCCUGGACCAAUAUUGACGCUGAGGAGCGAAAGCCAGGGGAGCAAACGGG
rnacentral:rRNA from 1 species